rnacentral:rRNA from 1 species
CGACCUCAGAUCAGACGAGACGACCCGCUGAAUUUAAGCAUAUUACUAAGCGGAGGAAAAGAAACUAACCAGGAUUCCCUCAGUAGCUGCGAGCGAAGAGGGAAGAGCCCAGCGCCGAAUCCCCCGUCCCCUCGUGGGCGCGGGGAAAUGUGGCGUACGGAAGUCCGCAUCGCCCGGCGCGGGCCGGGGGCCUGAGUCCUUCUGAUGGAGGCUCAGCCCGUGGACGGUGUGAGGCCGGUAACGGCCCCCGCCCCGCCGGGGCGCGGACUUCUCAGAGUCGGGUUGUUUGGGAAUGCAGCCCAAAGAGGGUGGUAAACUCCAUCUAAGGCUAAAUA